rnacentral:rRNA from 1 species
AUUGAACGCUGGCGGCAGGCCUAACACAUGCAAGUCGAACGGUAACAGGAAGCAGCUUGCUGCUUUGCUGACGAGUGGCGGACGGGUGAGUAAUGUCUGGGAAACUGCCCGAUGGAGGGGGAUAACUACUGGAAACGGUAGCUCAUACCGCAUAACGUCGCAAGACCAAAGAGGGGGACCUUAGGGCCUCUUGCCAUCGGAUAUGCCCAGAUCGGAUUAGCUAGUAGGUGGGGUAACGGCUCACCUAGGCGACGAUCCCUAGCUGGUCUGAGCGGAUGACCAGCCACACUGGAACUGAGACACGGUCCAGACUCCUACGGGAGGCAGCAGUGGGGAAUAUUGCACAAUGGGCGCAAGCCUGAUGCAGCCAUGCCGCGUGUAUGAAGAAGGCCUUCGGGUUGUAAAGUACUUUCAGCGGAGAGGAAGAGAGUAAAGUUAAUACCUUUGCUCAUUGACGUUACCCGCAGAAGAAGCACGGGCUAACUCCGUG